rnacentral:rRNA from 1 species
UACGGGGGGGGGGCAAGCGUUGUUCGGAAUUACUGGGCGUAAAGGGUGCGUAGGCGGCUUUCUAAGUUGGAUGUGAAAACUCUGGGCUCAACCCAGAGCCUGCAUCCAAAAACUGGAGAGCUUGGGUUCUGGAGGGGGAAAGCGGAAUUCCUGGUGUAGCGGUGAAAUGCGUAGAUAUCGGAAGGAACAUCAGUGGUGAAAAGCGGCUUCCUGGACCAGUACCGACGUCAGGCACGAAAGCGUGGGGAGCAAACAGG